UACACCACAUGCUAGUUCUGCUUUGCAACAGAAUCACACUGCAUUAUGCACAUAUUAUGGACUUCCACAAACAACCGUGGCCCAUUCCUCUCCAACUACAGAGCAAUUGAAGCCACUUGCAGUACGACUCUCCACGUCUACACAGACAGACACGACUGUGAAAGCCCUCCAAGAGCGUGGCUGUCAGACAGAACCCUGGGAACAACCAGUUCAAAG